rnacentral:rRNA from 1 species
AUUGAACGCUGGCGGCAGGCCUAACACAUGCAAGUCGAACGAGUGGCGGACGGGUGAGUAAUGUCUGGGAAACUGCCUGAUGGAGGGGGAUCACUACUGGAAACGGUAGCUAAUACCGCAUACCAUCGGAUGUGCCCAGGUGGGAUUAGCUGGUGGGUGGGGUAAAGGCUAUCCUGGGCGACGAUCCCUAGCUGGUCUGAGAGGCUGACCAGCCAAACUGGAACUGGGAAACGGUCCAGACUCCUACGGGAGGCAGAAGUGGGGAAUAUUGCACAAUGGGCGAAAGCCUGAUGCAGCCAUGCCGCGUGUAUGAAGAAGGCCUUCGGGUUGUAAAGUACUUUCAGCGGGGAGGCGUUACCCGCAGAAGAAGCACCGGCUAACUCCGUGCCAGCAGCCGCGGUAAUAC